AUCUUUGCUUGCUUGUACUAUGUAACUACUAGACAACAGACAGUUAGCGUAGCUUAGCAUAAAGAGUGGAGACUACAAGAAAAUAUAUAUCCCAUUUGGCAAACAAAAAUCAGUCAUGCUCCAAAUGCCACCUUUCAAUCCUUGCUAUGUACUUAUUGUCUGUUACAGAUGAACAGUGUUGGUUUGGGUCAUGCAGAUGAUAACCUCCAGGAGUUGGGGAAAAGCUGGGGAAUCCAGAAAAUCUGCACUUGAAGAGGAAGACCUGGUUGUGAAAAUGGCAAGGAGUUGGAUUCAAACAAUGCCACCGAGGGCUGGAGCCUUUGACGAGAGGGGAGAGGCCGCCGUAUCUGUGCAAGACGAGGUGAGGACAAGCUCCGUCUCACAGGAAUGAUAAGAAUGAUAAGCCCUAUAAGCAUUGUCCCUUACUUGUCAUAAUCAGAGUACAGUCAACAUUAAAAUAUGGAUUCGUAUAUUCACUGUUCAGAUGGAAGCUGAAAUUCUCUUUUUUUUACAUGUGGAAUGAGUUGAAGCUGAAAAUAUAUUAUUAGACAGCAGGGAGGCCAUAACAGCCCUUUUUUUCUCCCAUUAAUUAAUUACUUUUUAUUUCUUUACCCUCACUCGUUCAUGGGCUGCUUUCUUCGCUGGUGGUAUGCGUAA